UGUAAUGGUGGGCUGGGGGGCGGGGUAAUAGGGAGGGGGGGGGGGUGGUCAGGAUGUAGUGGUCGUAAAGAGCGGGUAGGCGGGUAGGUAAGUCUGCCGUGAAAACCUGGGGCUCAACCCCGGGCGUGCGGUGGAUACUGCCGGGCUAGAGGGUGGUAGAGGCGAGUGGAAUUCCCGGUGUAGCGGUGAAAUGCCCAGAUAUCGGGAGGAACACCAGUAGCGAAGGCGGCUCGCUGGGCCAUUCCUGACGCUGAGACGCGAAAGCUAGGGGAGCGAACAGGAUUAGAUACCCGAGUAGUC
rnacentral:rRNA from 1 species